UCAGUUGUUUCAUGAAUUCAGAUUGGAAAACGAAGAAUCAUGAGAGGUGUAGCAUAGGUGGGAGAUUGUGUGUUCGCGCACAUGAUCGUCAAUGAAAUACCACCACUUUCAUCGAUUCUUUACUUAUUCGGUAAAAAGAGAAUUGAGUUUUACGACUCUUUAUUUAUUUGUGUUAAGUAAAGUCACAUGGUGACAUUACGACUCUCGCCGAAGACAUUGUCAGGCGGGGAGUUUGACUGGGGCGGUACAUCUGUCAAACUGUAACGCAGGUGUCCUAAGGCUAGCUCAGAGAGGACGGAAACCUCUCGUAGAGCAAAAGGGCAAAAGCUCGCUUGAUCUUGACUUUCAGUACGAGUAUAGACCGCGAAAGCGUGGCCUAUCGAUCCUUUUAAUCCAGAGAGUUUCUGGUAAGAGAUGUCAGAAAAGUUACCACAGGGAUAACUGGCUUGUGGCAGCCAAGCGUCCAUAGCGACGUUGCUUUUUGAUCCUUCGA
rnacentral:ncRNA from 1 species